rnacentral:SRP_RNA from 1 species
GCUAGAUGGAGAGUUAGCGGUGCUCUGUAACCCACAAUCCGCUAUAGUGGGAUUGAACGCUUGCCUAGGUUUAAAUAGGUCAAAAAUGUGCAACUGUUUUUUGUGAUGAAAUUAAGGUCUUAUGCAAUCAAAGCCCUUGAACCAUGUCAGAUCCUGACGGAAGCAUCAUUAAGAGGUCUCUUUGAUGUGCCAUAAGGUGGCUUUAGUGGAGCAAAA